GUUAUUGUUUGGUUGGGUUUUCUUCCAACCACACCAUUGUACUAAGAGAGAAACAUGUGAAGAUGUCUUUGCCUGGUAUGAGCCAACAAUGCUUCCAAAGACAGUUUCCAAGAUACAAAGAUAUGAAGACAAAACGAUCUUCUUAUAUUAAUUUCAACUCCAUUGCAUGAAGUUACUUUGCUGCACUUCAGAUCACUGUAUACUGCUGGUAUUGUCUGCAGGAUGACACUGAUGUCUUUGAAAUUCACUGCAACCAACAGAGAAUGCCCUCCAACAGCAGCUGCACAAAUGGUUAUGACAAAGGAAAGACAAGACAACUAAAUAUAAAGAACUUCUCACUAUUACUGAGCAAAUUCAUAUGAGGGCAAUAGUACAGAUCUACUUUUGAAAAAAAUAUUAUUGUUUAUAAAAGCAACAAUUCUUCACUAGAGACCAUUCAUACCUUAAGAGCUCGGACAAUGUAAUUGGUUCUCUCACCCAGAGCAAAGCCAAGUAACAAAAUGAAAGUGUCAUUGGCAUUGUCAUCCUCAGUUUGUCCUUUUGGUUCUUCAUUAAAUACAAGCUGCCAUCUACUGAUCCAGAGUACACA